rnacentral:rRNA from 1 species
GACGUAGGGCGCGAGCGUUGUCCGGAUUUAUUGGGCGUAAAGAGCUCGUAGGCGGCUUGUUGCGUCGGCUGUGAAAUCCCGUGGCUUAACUGCGGGCUUGCAGCUGAUACGGGCGGGCUGGAGUUCGGUAGGGGAGACUGGAAUUCCUGGUGUAGCGGUGAAAUGCGCAGAUAUCAGGAGGAACACCGGUGGCGAAGGCGGGUCUCUGGGCCGAUACUGACGCUGAGGAGCGAAAGCGUGGGGAGCGAACAGG